GACAUUCAAGAUGAUAAAAUGUGUAGCUUUAUUAGAAUACAAAACACAAACUGUUUCACUGUUUCGAAACAACGUGUCGGAACAUUACAUUGUACUGUUUCAUUUGUUUCGAAACAAUUACGUGUUUCAGUUUGCCCAUCUCUAAUUUGAACCAUUUUUUGAAGGACGACAUUUCAAAGUUCGCGGCGUCAAAGAGAAACAAUACAUUAGACAAACGAUAAACCACAGUCGGAAGCGCAUCAGAGACGUAACUUUGUACAGGGAAAUGUCAAAUGGGUGUGUCCAAGCUGCUGCGAAGUAACAGGACGUAGUAUUUGCAAACGAACAGGAGAAAACGAAAAUAAUAAUAUACCCACUGAGGAUGCUACAACUGAGGUGAACCAUGUUUGGGUGAUGAAGUAAAACAAUAAUUUGUGUGCUUACAAAAAGGUGAACUCAUCCUUAAUUCAUUAACAUUUUUUUGCAAAACACUGGAACUGAGUCCAAACUCAAAUAGGCCAAUGAUGUAAAUAGACUGUUGUAUUAUAGAAGCUGCAACUCUCAGGAAUACCUGCAAUACUACCUUUACGACAUACUUCUCCAGUUGGCCAACUCUUAAAGUUGCUGGGCAUAUAACUGAUGAACUGCAAGAGGAAAUUACCAACAAAUGAAGACUUCAAAGGAUGGUCUAUGGACAAGUAUUCCACAGGGGAUACUCAGGAUCCACUAUUUUAUGUCUAUUAAUAAUCUUGUGUUACAUAUAUAUUUAUUGUAAAUGGUGUCGAAAUAGCGGUAAGAAAAUGUGUCGAGUAGCAAGUAUAGACUGUUGGGUCAGGAGAACUAAGAAAACUGAAUCCCUUUCUCCAAAACCAGAUUUCACACAAUUAUGCCCAAAGUGAUACAAUGUAGUGGUAAAAUAUUGACAUAUUUUGUGAAAAUAUGUAUAACACUGUUGAAAAUAAAGAAUGAUAGCAGUCAUAA